rnacentral:tRNA from 1 species
UGUCCAUGGUGUAGUGGUUUGAGUGUUGGACUUCAACUCUGGAGACCAGGGUUCAAUUCCCCGCUUGAUCA